rnacentral:rRNA from 1 species
UACGUAGGGUCCGAGCGUUGUCCGGAAUUACUGGGCGUAAAGAGCUCGUAGGUGGUUUGUCGCGUUGUUCGUGAAAACUCACAGCUCAACUGUGGGCGUGCGGGCGAUACGGGCAGACUGGAGUACUGCAGGGGAGACUGGAAUUCCUGGUGUAGCGGUGGAAUGCGCAGAGAUCGGCAGGAACACCCAGGGGGAAACCAGUGGACUGGGCAGGCGCUGACACUCAUGUGCGAAAGCGUGGGGAGCGAACCGG